UCUUUGCUCACAUCCUUUUACAGAAUGACUCUGCUGGUUCUGCUCAUUGCAGCAGGUGUAAACUGUCAGCAACUCACUGCAGCAAAGACUGAAGAGUUCAGUCUAGAAGGCAGCUCUGUUACUCUGUCCUACAGUUACUCCAAUAAGAUAACUGCUAGUGAUGAUUUCUUCUGGUAUCAACAGUAUCCAGGAAAACCUCCAGAGUUCAUCAUGCACAUCUCAGGGCUCAACCGUCCAAGAUCUGCAGAUAAUCUGAAAUCAGCAUCAAGAUUCUCCACUAAACUGAGAGAAGAGAAACACCUGGACCUGCUGAUCUCCUCUGCUGAGCUGACAGACUCUGCUGUGUACUACUGUGCUGUGAGGCCCACAGUGACAGGAAACACCAGAACUCUGUACAAGAACCUGCAAUACUGCACUACAUCCACUAGAGGGUCUCACACACUGUUAACCCCACUGAUCUCUAUUCAUUCACUUGACUGCUGA